rnacentral:tRNA from 1 species
GGNUCGUUAGCUCAGUUGGUAGAGCAGUUGACUUUUAAUCAAUUGGUCGCAGGUUCGAAUCCUGCACGACCCACCA